AGCUCGUCUGGCAGCGACGGUGCCGUCGUCGAUGGCGGCGGCAGCGGUGCCAUUGAGGCUAGGGUUUCUGGUGGUGUGGGGGAUUCAUCGGAGGAGAAAGGAGCCUCGCUCACGGAUUCUUCUCGGUUCAACCAGCGAACGCUCCGACAGGGACCCGAAAGAGCACACAAGAAAAAGCGCUCGCCCAAUCAAACAACACAGGUCUAUAUUGUAGGUUUCUCUCGUGAUGAUGGCAUCGCCUCUACUGUGUCCGCCAAUAUUUCAAUCGCAUGUGUAGGAGGAGAAGGCUUGAUGCGCCGUCGCACUGACUCUAGCGCCCAUGGAUCCGGCUACCUGCUCAUCUGAGGCAAGCACCAAGGCUUCGUAAUUUAACUUAGUAUGAUUGAUAACGUAAGGAUGUUUCUCUCUUUGUAGUAUUUAGAAUAGUUGUCAGCUAGCUAUCACUAUCUUUGUUCGCUCUAUUAGUUAUAUUUCUACACUGAUUGGCAACUUAGUCCCCCCUAGCACAAUAUGUGAAAUAGAUCAAGCAAAGUUUCAGACUUGUCAGAAAAGAAAUUAUGGUAGUAAAAUUUGCGCAUAUCAUUACAUUUUGUUUUCUGUUUCAUAUUUUGGCAUCCAUGAAAUAUUUCCGCAACAUUCAGACUGGAUUGUAGGGGAGAACAAACUUGUCACAUUCACACUGAUUAUGUUAUGUUGUAUAUAAAUGCGGUCUAGAUUGUAAAAACUUACGUGAAUAUACCUAAAUGGUUGAGAUGAUGUUAUAGAAUUUAAACAUUUUUACUAACCUUGAGAAUGGAUAGAAAAUGUUAUUUGUUAUUUGUCAAAAUAAAUAAAUUAGAUGACUUGAUUGUUUUUUCCUCAAUAAAUUAGAUGACAUGAUUGUUUUACUAACGAUGUGCAUCCGCUGCGGCCGCCGCACCUUCCACCUGUAGAAGAGCACCUGCUCCUCGUGCGGCUACCCCGCCGCCCACAUCCGCAAGUGUAAGUCCAUCCCACCCCCAGAUCCCGCGAUUACUCUACGCAUAUGUGAAUCAACCUUGCGAAUCCGCAUGUAUUUCACCUCCACUUCUGGCUGCUCUCCUCUUCUGUACACUCACACAUCAAGGCUCUCGCCUGUUUGAAAAAAUGCCCUGAAGAAAUCAUGAACGAGUUAGAUUCUUUCUUCUAAUCCAUCGCUUUGGAUAUUCUUGAUCAACGGGAUGUCUGAGCAAUGUAAGUAUUUUUUUAGGAUGUAUAAAAUCUGCAUGUAUGAUGAUUAUGUACAAUAUACGUAGCUUCCUUUAAAGAAAAUAUCUAGAUUUGGCCCACAUGUUAUUACUGUUUGAAUUGUUACUAGAGACGCAUAAUAAAAUUUGAGGGAGUACUUGUUAUUACUAUUUGAAUCUGAGGGAGUACUUGUUAUUACUAUUUGAAUCUGAGGGAGUACUUGUUAUUACUGCUUUAGGAUGUAUAAAAUAUCUAUGUACAAUCUGAGGGAGUACUUGUAAUUACUGUUUGAAUUGUUACUAGAGAAGCAGCACAAAAUUUGGCCCACAUGUUUCUUUAUGCUCUGAAUGUUUAGCAGUUUUGAACCUUUAGCUAAGCCACUUCUUUGAUAUUAAGUGUAUUGCAUGAGCACUUGUACUUGCUGAUUUUAAGCAUCUUCUUAUCUGAAAGAAAAUAUCAGUAGCCCCUUGCUUUCUUUCCUUUUACAGUUUGAAAAUUAGGAUUACAUUCAAAUUUUAAACUGAUACAAUAUGGGUAAACAAUGAACAGACCUUGUCACGUGGGCAGGUUAAUUAGUUUGUUUGUGUAUAGUUACCAGAGCGGUAUAUGUUUUUGGUAGGAUGUGAAUGUGUAGGAGUUUGGAACCUUCAAGCUACUGUUUUGGGGUUAAGCACAUGUCAUGUAUCAGUUUAGUGCUACUUUGGUGUCAGUCUUUGAUUAGACAUGGCAUGCUCUGUCCAGUAUUUGUUGGUUGUAAGGAUUAGCUUCGCUCUGCUUUGGAAUGCCUGAUAUUAGAUGUCACGUGGUUGCAAAAAUAUCUUUGUCUGAGCUUUCUAUGCAGAUAUUGCUCUACUUAUUUGAUUUACACACUACUUCUCUAGCAUCCUAGAUAAUCCUAGAUGUUCAGUAAACUAACAAUGUUUUCUCUCUUCUAUGAGAUGCACUUCCUUGCAUCAUUCCAGAAAGCACAGGAGGAGAAGCUAUUCUUACUUAGAAUCUGAUACUGAAUCAGAAGUGACAGUGAUCGUAAACACAGGAAGAGGAAGGACCGCAAAAGGCACAUGAAACAUGGCCACUCUGACUCUGAUGGUGCCAGGAGGCGCAAGCAUAGGUCAAAGAGGAGGUAUUCACACUCUAGUGAUGAGAGUGACAGCGAUAACUACAGUAGUGAAUCUAAAGAAAAUAUACAUUGUAUUGUAUAUGCUACUGAAAUAAAAUAUACAUUUUCUUUGCAAUCAAUAGAUGACUAUGCAGGAUGACGUAUUGUAUUUGAUGUGAUUUGCUACUGAAAUAAAAUAUACAUUUUAUUUGCAA